UGAGUACGAGAUGCUACGGCAUCGAAGCAGUCUAUGUCAUACUUCCAAGAAAAGCUUGCACUGUCAUAAACAAAGAAUGCCUGUACCAUAACCGACACAGGUGGGUAGGUAGAGUAUACUAAGGGGCGCGAGAUAACUCUCUCUAAGGAACUCGGCAAAAUGACUCCGUAACUUCGGGAGAAGGAGUGCCUUAUUUCUAAGGUUGCAAUAACAAGAUCCAAGCAACUGUUUACCAAAAACACAGGUCUCCGCUAAGUCGUAAGACGAUGUAUGGGGGCUGACGCCUGCCCAGUGCCAGAAGGUUAAAGAAGUUGGUUAGCAUUAGCGAAGCUGAUAACUGAAGCCCUGGUGAACGGCGGCCGUAACAAUAACGGUCCUAAGGUAGCGAAAUUCCUUGUCGGCUAAGUUCCGACCCGCACGAAAGGCGUAAUGAUUUGGAUACUGUCUCGGAGAGGGGCUCGGUGAAACAGACUUGUCUGUGAAGAUGCGGACUACCUGCACCUGGACAGAAAGACCCUAUGAAGCUUUACUGUAACUUGAGAUUGAAAUUGGACUUUAUUUGCGCAGUAUAGGUGGGAGGCGUUGAGAAUAAUCUUGCGGGAUUGUUGGAGCCAUCAGUGAGAUACCACUCUUGUAAUGUUAGAUUUCUAACUUUGUAUCAUUAUCUGGUCAAAGAACAGUUUCAGGCGGGCAGUUUGACUGGGGCGGUCGCCUCCCAAAGGGUAACGGAGGCGCACAAAGGUUUCCUCUGAACGGGUAGAAAUCGUAUCUAGAGUGUAAAGGCAUAAGGAAGCUUGACUGUGAGACCUACAAGUCGAGCAGGGACGAAAGUCGGUCUUAGUGAUCUGACGGUGCUGAGUGGAAAGGCCGUCACUCAACGGAUAAAAGUUACUCUAAGGAUAACAGGCUGAUCUCCCCCAAGAGUUCACAUCGACGGGGAGGUUUGGCACCUCGAUGUCGGCUCAUCGCAUCCUGGGGCGGUAGUCCGUCCCAAGGGUUGGGCUGUUCGCCCAUGAAAGCGGUACGCGAGCUGGGUUCAGAACGUCGUGAGACAGUUCGGUCCAUAUCCGGUGUAGGCGUUAGAAUAUUGAGAGGAGCCUUCUCUAGUACGAGGGGACCGAGAAGGACAUACCUCUGGUGUACCAGUUAUCGUGCCAACGGUAAACGCUGGGUAGCUAUGUAUGGAGUGGAUGACCGCUGAAAGCAUCUAAGUGGGAAGCCCACCUCAAGAUAAGUAUUCUCAUC
rnacentral:rRNA from 1 species